CCUACGGGUGGCAGCAGUGAGGAAUAUUGGUCAAUGGGCUUACGCCUGAACCAGCCAAGUCGCGUGAGGGAAGACUGCCCUAUGGGUUGUAAACCUCUUUUGUCAGGGAGCAAUUGGCGCUACGUGUAGCGGUAUCGAGAGUACCUGAAGAAAAAGCAUCGGCUAACUCCGUGCCAGCAGCCGCGGUAAUACGGAGGAUGCGAGCGUUAGCCGGAUUUAUUGGGUUUAAAGGGUGCGUAGGCGGAAUGCCAAGUCAGCGGUAAAAUCGCGGGGCUCAACCUCGCUCCGCCGUUGAAACUGGCGGUCUUGAGUGGGCGAGAAGUAUGCGGAAUGCGUGGUGUAGCGGUGAAAUGCAUAGAUAUCACGCAGAACUCCGAUUGCGAAGGCAGCAUACCGGCGCCCAACUGACGCUGAAGCACGAAAGCGUGGGUAUCGAACAGGAUUAGAUACCCCAGUAGUC
rnacentral:rRNA from 1 species